rnacentral:rRNA from 1 species
GCUGGCGGCAUGCCUUACACAUGCAAGUCGAGCGGCAGCGCGGGGGCAACCCUGGCGGCGAGCGGCGAACGGGUGAGUAAUGCAUCGGAACGUGUCCUCUUGUGGGGGAUAACCAGUCGAAAGACUGGCUAAUACCGCAUGAGCUCGAGAGAGGAAAGCAGGGGACCCGCAAGGGCCUUGCGCGAGAGGAGCGGCCGAUGCCGGAUUAGCUAGUUGGCGGGGUAACGGCCCACCAAGGCGACGAUCCGUAGCUGGUCUGAGAGGACGACCAGCCACACUGGGACUGAGACACGGCCCAGACUCCUACGGGAGGCAGCAGUGGGGAAUUUUGGACAAUGGGGGCAACCCUGAUCCAGCCAUGCCGCGUGUGUGAAGAAGGCCUUCGGGUUGUAAAGCACUUUCGGACGGAACGAAAUCGCGCGAUCUAACAAGUCGCGUGGAUGACGGUACCGUAAGAAGAAGCACCGGCUAACUACGUGCCAGCAGCCGCGGUAAUACGUAGGGUGCGAGCGUUAAUCGGAAUUACUGGGCGUAAAGUGUGCGCAGGCGGCCGCGCAAGUCGAGUGUGAAAGCCCCGGGCUUAACUUGGGAAUUGCGCUCGAAACUA